UGACCUUCUUGGUUUUUUGGCUAAGAUCCACUGUAGUAUCUGUUUUUAUCAGUUUAAAAGGUGAUAUGUUCUCUAUCAGGGGAUAAUUUAUUAAAUUGAUUUUGGGAGCAUAAAGAUGGAGUAGAUCUUUCUCUGUCCCAUCCACGCGUCGAUCUGUUACUGCAGUAUUUCCAGGAACGGUGUAUUUUUG